AAUAUAAUUCUGUCUACAAAAUAUCUAAAAAAUUUAGCUAUAUUUUCAUUGAUGUUUCUUAUCAAAGUACAAUAAUUUGUUUAUAGAUUCUAAGGUUUUCAGAAAUUGUUCCAAAGUAUAACCAGAAAAAAAUUCUAAAAGAAAAAGAUGCUUCAACAAAGAGAAAGCAUACAUUGGAUCCUAAAAAGAAGAAAGAAAUCAUUUUUGGGUAAAACAAGUUCUUUAUAAUCAUAUUUCAAUGAUAAAAGUAUUUUCCUAAAUAAAAAGAUUUUUAUAUUAUUAUCUAAACAAUGAUGUAAAAAGUUAGAACAAUUAAAAAAAGAUUUAUAUAUACUGGACUGACUAUAAAAAUUUUAACUUAUUAAUUCAAGGAUAUUUCAGACUAUUUUCCUAGUUUGACUAUACUGAUGUGAGCUAAGAUUUUGUCCAUAUUUUAACAUGAUAAGCAUCUAUUAAAAUGUAAGUUUAUUUCCUUAAAGAUCCUUAUUGCCUAAUAAUUCUUACUGUUUAAGACAAAGAUUAAUUUUGGUAAAUAAAUUCACAUCGUUCAUUAAACACUAAAUAUAUUGAACUACUAACUUGGAUCCCAAUUUUGACAAUUGUCCUUUGAGAUUAAAUUUGAUUGAUUGUAAGACACUGAGACACUAUUGAUUCUUACAUUUUUGUUAGAUAAUUAUGUGAUUUAAAAAACAUUUUGUUAGGACUGAAGUUCUCCAAAUUAAAGCUAUAUGUUACUUUUGAGCAAUAAAGUUUAUAAACUUAAAAAAUUCAUUGAUAUUAUAUAUAAAGUUCUCUGGCUUGACCUAUUAUCUAUAAAAAAUACAGUAAGAUUUAUAUAGUGCUCCCUACACUGGGAAAUAACCUUAAUCAUAUUUUUUAAAGACAAUUAAGAGAUACCUAUUUAAGAGAUAAUAUUGUAAAAUAUAUAGAUAUUUUGAAACCUUCUCUCAAAAAGAGAUUGAGGGUUCUUUCUAAAUAGGAUGGAUCGACUAGUCUAUAUUGGAAAAUUAUAAUAAUCAAUAUAAAGUAAAUCUAUUCUUAAUCAUUUAAAUAUUUGUACUAUUAUCUAUAACUUAAACUAAUGAAACUAUGACUUAUGCCAAGCCUUUACUCAAUUUUAUUAAAUUAAAAAAAAAAGGGGGGGAAUACAGGACUCCAGAGAGACACACACUGGAUUUUACAAAUAUUUCAAGUUUUUUCUUAAAUUGUAAUAUUGAGAGUCUUAAUGUUACUGAGCAUGAUUCAUAAAUUAAAUCAGACAUCAAAGGAGAAUUUUAACUAGUCAUCAUGAUAAUGACUGAGAAACCUGGCCCAGGAAGGUCAAUUUCCAGCUACAGAGUUUACAACCAUGCAGCUUCAUGAGCUUGUCAGGUAAGUAAAAAUUAUGAAAAGGCUUGUAUGGACCCAUUUCCCAGGUCCAUCUUUAAUGUGUCUUGCAGUGUGGACUGGAAAGUCCACCCAUGAAACUAGAUUAAUUGUCCUGACUGUAAUGGUCAGUUAUACCUAUAUAUUGAUUCUGUGGUAAACAGACUGUCUGGAAGUAUCUUUUGAGAAAAAGAUAGUGUUGAAAUAACAGAUUGUUCCACAUCCUUAUGGAUGGCGGCUAUGGACCAGAUGUGAGUAACACCAACUAAGGGCCAGUUAUCUAUGAGGGAUCAUGCCCUGAGUCUUAGUACUACUCUCUUCAUCUAUCUGUGUCUCUUGGCUUUGUCACAGUAUUACUGUUUGUCUGUUGAUGACCUUUCUCCUUCCUUCCUGAACGCAGCCUCACCAGCCCAGUGCUGUGAGCUGGGUCCUCCAUGGAGAAGAAACCUGAGUUUGCUGAUCCUAAGGUAAAUGCUGGCGUGGAGGCCAUGGGGGCAUUAUCUAUCAAGAAGACAGAGAGCCCUCUCGGGACAAUGCCUUGCACACUCCACAUCACCCUGUUUGGCCCUGGAGGAUGGCUGGUUAGUCAAUGACGGGUAAGAUUCCUCAAGGGAGGGACAACCUAAGACAGGCACAGUCGCAGAGGGGCCAUCAGGAGAAAAUUUGGGGGCCAACAGAAGUGAGGCACAGAAUCUUACCCCCCCAUACUGGUACAAAGGCCUAAUUCUUUACCCCUUCUGAGAAAGGUCUCCUGCCCCAUGGCUGCUUUACUUCCCACAUCCAGCUCAGAUCAGAACCCAAGUGACAGACAGAGACGUAGUCAAUAGUGACUGCCUGCUCACACAGCAGGAGACAACUGCAGCUACAGGAAUGGGCCAUGUCUGGAUGCUUUUCUCUUUCUUGGUUCCCAUUUUUUUUUCUAUGCUUUUUCCCUUUUCCUUUCUUCUCUCAUCAGGGUUCUCCUUUAGCAAUAAAUUUAAUAAACAGGAGGAAAUGAUAGAAUAGCCUUCAGUUGCAACUUAACAGCUAUGAGCAUUUAGAGUUUCCUCACAGUAUGGUUACAUUAGGCAAAAGAUGAUUGGCUUAUGGAUAUUAUCUUGCUUAUAUAUGACUGACGGGCAUGCCCCACUCAAACCCUAUAAUAGUUGUGUGCAUUCCAAAAAGAAACUGAGCUACUAGAUGUCAAUUUGAGGUUUGUCUCCAGCCAGUUAUCACCAGCUCCCGUGACUUAGGUAGCCAAAGUAGCUGAGCAACAAAUUGACCACAUCAGUGACAGGAAUGUAUGCGAGACAGCAGAUGAGAAACCCAAGCCAGCUAAUUAUGCUGGACUUUAGUGACUAAGACUAGAUUUACCCAUAUGGACAAUUGUUGGAAAGAUUAUUAAAAUAGAUUUUUCCAAGAGUAUUUAUAUUACUGACAGACCUAAUUAACUCUUAAAUGUCAGAGUUAAGAGUAAAAAUGAUAAAUACCCUGUAGCCUGUAAAAAUAUGACUUAUUGCACCAUUAGUUAUUGCCAGCUAAUAUUACAGAGCUAUAUAAUAUGAUGAAGUUAAUAUUCAGGUUUUAAAACAGGCAUAUGUCAAUUGACCAGACCUAGGCAAACUGCUGGUCUCAUAAAAUCGCUGAAGUGACUACUUUAAAUAUUAUUCCUUACUUAUUCAAUUGCAGCCUUUGUGGCUAUGUCUUAAAACUUACAAUGGAUGGAUUUUCUUAAUGUUUGACUUAAAUUACUUCCAAAGUCCUUCAUGGUCAGAUAAGUGCUGAUGGAAGGAUGAGAACUAAGUAAUGAUGUUCUAGAAGACAAUGUAAUGAAUAAUGUGAGUGAGGCCUUUGCUCUGUGGUUUAUGGAGAGGCCUAAAUGCCAUGGCAAUGAAAAUGUCUGUUACUAUGGCCAAACACAAUGCAUACCAAUAAAAUUGGAAAAAGAUUAAAAAUCUUCUGAUGAGUGUUUGGCGAAGUAAUAAUAAUCUGGAUUAUUGUGUUGAUUGUGUUAUGAAGAUGAUAUGUUUUCUACUAAUUGUGUUGUGAAGAUGAUAUGUUUUCUACUAAUUCUUUUUGUGUCUCAAUAGCAGUUCAUGAUGACCUUGAACCAAGAGUCAAGUGACUGAAAGAAAAUUUCCCAGUUACAUAUUUUUUUUUUUAUAUUAAGAAAGGGGGAAUAUGUGGGAGACCAACCUUACACGUGACUGGGUUACACUCCCCUGCUGGGUGCUGAGGCGCUCAGUUGCAGAAAUGUGGCUGAGCUUUCCCCACCCUUCUUGGGUGCGAGGGUCUCUGUCUUGUGCAUGGGUGUGUCUUGCUACAGCCCCAAGGGUGAAGCUACGCUCACAUGUUCCUUUGUAAUAUAACCCCUUGCUCUGUUUAGGAUAGAAUCUUCCAUGGAAGUGCCUUGUGUGUGUCCCCUUCUCUUACUGUGCCCUUGGGUGUGGCCUACCCAGGUGUCAGUCAACCUGCUGACAGUGGACAUCAUGAAGAUACUCAGCCCCCUGAAACCUGACCCCUUGCCUCAUUUGAAUAGCUUCCCUCAAUAAAAGGGGUCAGCAUGUGCUCUCGCUCUCUCUCUCUUCCUUCAGACCCUUAAGAUCAGAGGAGCCAUCACAGCGACCCUAAAGAAAAAGGCAUUUGUGUC
rnacentral:lncRNA from 1 species